CUGCAGGAAGGAAUUUUGUCAAUCAGGGACCUGGCUAUUUUCCAGGACUUAGCUGGACCUGGGUAUAACCAAAGCCUGACUGUAUGGUACAAAAG
rnacentral:pre_miRNA from 1 species